GAGGGUGAGGCAGGGAAGAGCCAGGUUGUGUCGGGGACACACACACACACACACACACACACACACACACACACGCACACACGCACACACGCACACACGCAGAGGUCAGAGGACGAGACAACUUUACGGAGAUGGUUCUUUCUGUACUCCUUGAUGCUGGGCUCAGACCGCCAGGCUUGCGCAGCAAUCGCUGUGACCUAAGGAGCCGUCUUGCUGGCUCUCUUGUAUGUAUUUUAACUUUUACUUAAAGGCUGAUGGGAGGUCAUGGGAAGGUUUCAAGUACAGGAAGGACAGCUUUGACCUUUUCACAUAUUACCUGAACUAUAUUACAUUGGAAAUUGGAUAUAGAGGGCAUGAGUACAAACAGGGACUCCAGGAGGAAGCCAUGGUGGAGAAUCUAGGCAGGGGAGGGGGAGGAAACCGACAAAAACCAUGGGCGUGGCGAGCAGCAGACCCUGGUUACACUCUGAAGGUGGAGGAAAGUGUGCGGUGUCCAAGCCGUGGAAGACUGGAAUUGCCACUCGCUGAAAAGGAAGACCUUGAAAACAACCCAUGGGGAACAUGGUUUGCAAGUGGAGUCUCAGCCGCAUGAGAAGCUUCUGAGGACAGCUGUGUUUACAGACAUCUGCUUGGGGCAGUGGUCAGAGCUGAAGAUACAAUUUUAGUGCCAUCGGUACUGGUGAGAUGCAAAGCCAGGAGACUGAAUGAGGUCACAACCAUCGGUACCAGUGAGAUGCAAAGCCAGGAGAUUGAAUGAGGUCACAACCAUCGGUACACCAGUGAGAUGCAAAGCCAGGAGACUGAAUGAGGUCGCUCUGAGGCGACUAAGAAGAGACAGAGGACUCAGUUUGACACUUGGAUGGGGCAGACAGAAAAGAAGCAGUGCUCUGUGUGGUGAAGCCUGUCGGAAGCACUGGUGUGAGGGGAGGAGCAAGACUUGGCAGUUGGAUUUCAAGGGCAUCGUGGAAGAGCCCUUUCCUCGAAGAGAGGGACUGGCUGACUGAGUAGGAAAGGAAGCAGGGGAAUAGAGAUGGCGGCUGUGGUUCCUUUGUGCAUGUCUUAUUCAAAGAGAAGGAAGAGAAAAGCAGCCGUUAGAAUCAUGAUCAGGAGACUAGUUUUCAGAUGAAAGUUACAGGCACCCUGAGGGCACGCUGUGCCGAAGAAGCUGAGAGUACAGAUGGGCACUGGGCGGUCAGCACGUGAUACCUGCUGUCCACACGCUCUGUGAUGAGACACGCCUUAGCCAGCAAGGGACAGGCGAAAGGACCUGGGACCACAAAUGCAGGAGCUGAUGCAGAGGUAGACGUCUGCAUAGAUUCAAAAAGGCAGGAAAUAAAUGCCCAAGAAAGUAGGGGAGAGACUGGCCCAGUGCAUCCCUGUGCCUGCCCAGGUCCAGGGGAGGAGAGACAGGCCCAGUGCAUCCCUGUGCCUGCCCAGGUCCAGGGGAGGAGAGUCUGGCCCAGUGCAUCCCUGUGCCUGCCCAGGUCCAGGGGAGGAGAGACAGGCCCAGUGCAUCCCAAGCCAACCAUAGCUCUCCACAAGCCGCCUCCACUUUCUGAGCACAUCUUUGCUUUUUGGCAACACACGUUGCUGCCAGUUCAUCUGUGUUCUCUGCCACAGUCCUGUAUUAACUCUAGUUCCAAAUGGGAAGUGAUUGUAAAGCUAAUAGUCAGAGCCACACAGAAAGCUGCACUCGGGAGAAGCAUGUUUCCCUCCUGGGCAACUACCCUGAGUCUGGUCCUCCUUUGCCCUUCUAGGCCUCACCUGUUUGGUUUCUUGUUCAGCUUUCCUCAUUUCUUGGCGAGAGAGAGAGAGAGAGAGAGAGAGAGAGAGAGAGAGAGAGAGAGAAAGGAAGGAAGGAAGGAAGGAAGAGUGUGUUUUCUCUGCCUCCUUCCUGUUCUGCAGGUGUCACUGGAGUCUUUCUGGUGUGCUUUUCCCAGUUAGCGCUGUCUUGGGAUUGUCUUCAUUCUUUUCACAGCUGCUGGAUAACCAUUGUGUGGGUGCGGCACAGCUACUCCCUCGUGGGAGCUGGUAGGCUUGCUUCCAACGUUUUAUAAGUGCAGGCAGUCCUGCCUGAGUGACUGGGUGCAGCCGUCAGCAUGGCCCUGGCCCACGUGUAUUUUACUGUUACUGGGCAUUCAGAGUGGACUGUAGAAGUGAGUGCCGGCUGGAAAGGUGAGACGCACAUAGCUCUGCUAGGCAGUGCCACCUGUUCCCCGGAAGGACGGAUCAGCUCUGAGCUCUCACCGGCCGUGUAUCGGCGCAUCUGCUGCCCCGUGGCCUCGCAGUGUUUGCCACUGAAAUUUUAGCACCUUCCACAACGGGUCAUUCUGGAAAUGCUGUUUUCUGUAAACGCAGGGGUUUUUAUCUACGUGGACAGACAAGUAGGUCAUUGUCCAAGCAACUG